UUUGCAAGAGAUUUCCAUGGUGCAGUACCAGUGUAGACCACUAGAGGGUGGGAUUUCUCUCUCUACAUGUGUGCAAUCCUGCUGACAAUACAAUGCAAUAACCUGUUUGGAGUGGUCCAGACGGUAUGUGCGGUUUGUAUUGUCACAUGAUGGACGGUGAUGUUCACAACAAAUGAACCACUGUUGCCUUAAAUAGGAGAGAAGAGAUGUUGUAUGACUUGUACGGUAUAUAGCAUCUGUAUGUGCAGCUCACAUUACCGCUUUAGAGGAUUGCUUUGAUUGGUGUGUGUUCCUGAUGUGUUGCCUGUGUUGCAUUCAUUGAUGACUCAUUUAGUUUGUCUGUGUCUUCAUCUUCACUCUUUACACAGAUACUAUUUUCCAGCAGAGGAAAUACCUUACUGUAGCUGUUGUUAUUGUUUCAAACUUGUUGUAACUGAAAAGUGCCUGUCAUCUUUCCCUCCAGCACUGAUUGGCAGGAGAUGAGAUGAUCCCCUCCUUCUUUUUUCAGUCUCUCAUCUGCCUGUCAUCUUUCCCUCCCUCCCUCCUGGUCUGUCCAUCACUUUUUCUUCUGUUGCAGGCCGGUGUUUCACAGUAGCUCCAGUCUUCGUAAGGACCUGCGUGUCCUCGGCAACCAAACCUGCAUCACUUGUAACUAACGGUCAUAUUGUUGGUAAACUGUUAGACAGACAGCUGUGAAAGGGUCCUCAUCCAUCAGGGCGAUUUAACCUUUUAUACUGCUAGUAUCUUGUUAUUUUCUGAAGCACUGAGUUGAACCCUUUUGAACUAGAGAUGGCUUGUGUCCCAAAUGGCACUCUUUCCCCUAUUAUAGUGCACUACUUUUGCUCAGGGCUCCGGUCCAAAGCACUGCACCAUAUAGGGAAUAGGGUGCGAUUUGAGAGGCAGUCGUGGUGUCUGUAGAACACAUGGGUGGAAAGAUAGACUUGGGCUCCCAACGAGCCAGUAGAGGAAUGUACUUCCUGUGAAAACCCCCCUUUUUUCUGCGGUUGGGUUGGAGAGAGACUGUUGUUAUGCACUGUCAUGUUGGGAUGGAAGAGACGCAAAGGGAGCGUUCCAAAUAGCGCCAUGUGUAGUGCACUACUUUUGACCCGGGGCCCCAUAUAUGGUGGCAUUUGGGACUCAGUCACAAAGACAAAAGGGAACUGUUGGGGAAAUGCAAUGGCAACGAAAUCGCGCCUACCAGUUACCGUCUCCAGUCUCUACUAACAGGCUGCAAUCUGUGAUUGGAUGGACAGUGGAAUUUUUAGAGAAAAAGAGAGAAUAUUGCUGUAAUCUUUUCCACCAUUCCGACUCUCUCAGUAGCACUUGAGUCUGGGAACGAGGUUAAUAUUGCUGUAAUCUUUGAUGGUUGUUUUACUGCGUGUCGCUAUACUAUGUGUUUAAAAGGUCAAGGGUCACAAUAUAUGGUAAUGCAUUAUUACAUGUCUGUGUUAAUGAUCUGGCUGUGAUGUUGACAAAAUGUCUGGGUUUUAUUGAAAAAGGUGGGCCUGAAAUGCCUGCAGAAAUGA